rnacentral:rRNA from 1 species
AUAGGGAGUGGUGUCGCGCAAGGCAUGUCAUAUGAAAAAUUUUAAAUACGGUAAAUUCAUAUGACUGUGGACUGUUGACCUUGCCGGCAUAAGUCAAUUAUGUUUAUAAAAGGAGAAUAAUGAAGUUAUAAAAGUGUAUUAUUAAAUUAGUACAUGAAGACAUUAAGGUGAAUGGAUGGUGAGCAGUGUGUGCUCAUCACAUUACGCUGAAAGCGUAUAAUUUUAAAAGUUUGUCAUAUACUCGUUAUUUGAGUUAGAUAUCGUUAUUUGUUAUGUUGUAUAACAUUUGGCUUACGAUAUUAAGAAAAAAAGAUAAUUGUGAAACUUUCAAGCCAAGAUGUGUUGUUAGUAAUAAUUUUAUUGUUACUACAUCGUGUAAACAAAUGGGUUUCCUUUUAUCGUAAAAUUUAACA